rnacentral:ncRNA from 1 species
CAUUUGCACGCGAAUUUUGGUUGUCGCUUAGAGAAAUCGAAGCAACAUUAAAAGGGAAUUAGGUGAAAUGCCUAAGCUGUACCCGCAACUGUAAGCUAAUACGCUUGUUAUUAUCUGCAUUACCACUGUUAGAUAAUUUAGAAGUUAGAGUUUAGAACUUAAAAACGUUUUUUACUUCAACAUUCUAAAUUGCAACGGGAAGGUCAAUAACAAGACGCAAGCCAGGAGACCUGCCUUUAUUCAAUGAGUAACA